CCUACGGGAGGCUGCAGUAGGGAAUUUUCGUCAAUGGGCGCAAGCCUGAACGAGCAAUGCCGCGUGAACGAGGAAGGUCUUCGGAUCGUAAAGUUCUGUUGAAGGGGAAAAAGAGCGGAGAGAGGAAAUGGUCUCCGAUUGAUAUUACCCUUCGAGGAAGUCACGGCUAACUACGUGCCAGCAGCCGCGGUAAUACGGGGGUGGCGAGCGUUAUCCGGAAUGAUUGGGCGUAAAGGGUGCGUAGGCGGCCUGCUAAGUCUGGAGUGAAAGGUACCGGCUCAACCGGUACAGGCUCUGGAAACUGGCGGGCUAGAGAGCAGGAGAGGGCGGUGGAACUCCAUGUGUAGCGGUAAAAUGCGUAGAUAUAUGGAAGAACACCAGUGGCGAAGGCGGCCUCCUGGCCUGUUACUGACGCUGAGGCACGAAAGCGUGGGGAGCAAAUAGGAUUAGAUACCCCAGUAGUC
rnacentral:rRNA from 1 species